rnacentral:lncRNA from 1 species
ACAUCCUUAAUCCUUUUUUCACACAUAGUGAUCAACAAAGCUAUAAACAGUGAACUCCAUCCUAUGAAAAAAUAGUGUGUGAGCCGGGCGGGGCACCUAGCCGAACUGGACCAGACCAUGUCCAGUGGCAAACCACGUUUUUUUUUCAACCCCAGGAUGCAAUCCCAACAUCGCCAGAAUGUACUGCACGUGCGCUCACUGCCGAAGAGACAAAGCUUAGUGAACUUCAAAGAUGUUUAUACUUGAAAGAUGUUUAUACCAAACAUUUAUGCAAUGCACUUCAACACACAUCUAGAGAAUUGCAAACAAUAUUAAAAAAGAAAGGCUCUAUAGUCCACGGACUCACACGCGAAUUACACCGAGCACAAAGUUAAUUGCAAGGAUACUCUUCAAAAGCAAAAAACAAAACUACUGGGGGAAAACAACACUUGGUCAUGGGACGGAGGCAACCUGUGGUCAGGGGAAGCAUCAAUGAU